rnacentral:rRNA from 1 species
CCUACGGGAGGCAGCAGUGGGGAAUAUUGGACAAUGGGCGAAAGCCUGAUCCAGCAAUUCCGCGUGUGUGAAGAAGGCCUUCGGGUUGUAAAGCACUUUAGUGGGGGAAGAAACAGCUUGGCCACACCAAGCCUUGACGGUACCCCAAGAAUAAGCACCGGCUAACUCUGUGCCAGCAGCCGCGGUAAUACAGAGGGUGCAAGCGUUAAUCGGAUUUACUGGGCGUAAAGGGUGCGUAGGUGGCUAUUUAAGUCGGAUGUGAAAGCCCGGGGCUCAACCUCGGAAUUGCAUUCGAUACUGAGUGGCUAGAGUUCGGUAGAGGGCGGCGGAAUUUCCGGUGUAGCGGUGAAAUGCGUAGAUAUCGGAAGGAACAUCAAUGGCGAAGGCAGCCGCCUGGGCCUGGACUGACACUGAGGCACGAAAGCGUGGGUAGCAAACAGGAUUAGAUACCCUGGUAGUCCACGCCGUAAACGAUGAGAACUUGACGUUGGUUCGUUUUACGAAUCGGUGUCGCNGCUACGCGAUAAGUUACUCCGUCCGUGGGAGGUACGGCCGCGAGGUUAGAACGUACGAAAGAAGUAGACGGCGUGAGAGUGCCGACGGACGACGACGAGGGAGGUUAGG